GCACAUUCAUUCCAGGUAACUUCUCGUCUCGAAGCAUCACCGGAGUCAGUAAAACUCCAAGACUAUUGGAUCUGUUAAUUAAAUGCAUCGAGCAUAUCAAUGUAUUCUGCGGAGAGAAAGAAUGCUACAAUGUGAAAUUGGAUAUUUAGAAACAGCAGCAUCAGAGGGGGGAAGAGCUUACUGAGUGCGCACCGAUGGAUAGGCUGGGGUGCGGAAACCAAAAGAAGCAACUCGGUCAGACACACGCCUUAUGGAACAGAGACGUGAGAUGACAGGACAUAAGUUACAAAAAGCUCUUGUUCGACAUGUGAAGGGAUUUCAUUCCGGGCUCCCGGCAGUUCAGCUUAUGCUCUGCUCGCAUCCUGGAGGGCUCGCCGGUCCGGCGCGUUUUACGCACAUCUAUUACUGGAUAUCCACCCAGUAUACGCUGAUCAGUUGAUGCCGGCUCCGAGUUCAAGAUGACCUGUCAGCUGGGCCAGGGGCUGCAACACAGGACAUGGGUCCUGCCUCUCCUCCCCGCUCGUGUCUUGUGUUGCAGCCAGUGGUGCUGCCUGUCUGCCUCUCUUCCUUUCUGUCUGUCUGACCUCCACUGCUGGAAAGAGCAUCGGGAACAGAUGGAUGGCACGAUGCGUGGACCUGCAGACGUCAUUCCUAAUUUUUUCCUAAUUCUAGUCAUUUUUGGAGUAUUUUUCAAAUUCAACAUUGUCAUACUUCAAGGGCAGAUGGAUGUUGAUCAGUGAGUCUUGUUCUGCUUUAGGUUUUCAUCUGCUAAAAGUCAGUUUUUGACACAUUGCGAAGUGCUUACUUAAUUAGGAUUUAACUUGUGUCCCUCUAAAUAAUAAAAGAAAGGGUAGUAUAGACAGGCUUUUUACAAAUAGUGUCCUUUGAUACCUUUUUGUGUAAUUUGGCAUUGUAUAACUAAAAAAUGAUUGAUUCAUUGAUUCAUUGAUUCACUGACUAAAUAAAGCACCUUAAUGGAAAA